AUGAUGUAUUCUGCAUAUAAGUUAAAUAAGCAGGGUGUCAAUAUACAGCCUUGUAUGGAAAUAAAAAUUUAUUUUCUCUCUGAAAACUCAUACAUUAAAAUUCUUUGAAUUUGGAGCUAUUUUGUUGAAUUGUCAUAUAGUUUGGAAAUGUAACCCACUCCAGUAUUCUUGCCUGGAGAAUCCCAUGGAUGGAGAAGCCNNNNNNNNNNNNNNNNNNNNNNNNNNNNNNNNNNNNNNNNNNNNNNNNNACUUCACUUCACUUAUACCUUUAGAAGAUUAAUUUUUAGAAGUAAAGAGUAAUGAUUGCAGAUGAUUGUUGAAAUAUGGCAUCACAUUCUAUUCUGGAUAACAAUGUAAAAAUUAGUAUCUUGAUCUUGCUGAAUUUUCUUAAAUCUUUUCUUCACAUCAAUAUACCUCUCUGAGAAGUAUUUCCCAAAGGUGGUUUAAAAUCAAACAGAAGUGAUUCAGAUAUUAUAUUAGUUGCUAGGACUUUUAUAACCAAACCCUGUUGGUUAAACUACAGAAACUUAAGCUCUGGAGUCUAGAAGUCCAAUAUUAAUGCUCUGGCUAAUUACAUUUUCAUGAGAAUACUUCUUGAUUUGUAGCCACCUUCUUGCUAUGUCUUCAUAUGUCCUUUUCUUGGUUCAUGUGCAGAGUGAGUGAGAGUAUGCAAAACUUUGAUAUCUCUACUUCUAAGGAUAUUAUUCCUGUCAUAUCAGGCCUCUCCCCCUUUUCAUCUCUUUUACACUUAUUUCCUUAGAGGCACCACCUCCAUAUAUAACCACAUCAGACAUUAGGGCUUCAAUAUACAGAAUUAAGCAUUUUAGAGGGACAAAGUCAGGAAGUAACAAUAUGUAUUACCUUGUCAUGUCAAGCUGUCAACCAAAUUUACAAUGGAUAAUAGUGACAUAUUUAACAUUUAAAUACUGACAUAUGUGGUACUAGGUGGCUUAAACCCUAUACAUCAUUUCUCAAUAUCUAAAUUUGAGACUAGUAAAAAUAAGCGUAUACAU
rnacentral:lncRNA from 1 species